GGACCAAGGAGUUUAGCGUGUGCGCGAGUCAAUGGGUGGAAAACCUAAAGGCGGAAUGAAAGUAAAGGAAACUUGCUUUCUGAGGGAGGAUGGGUUACCUGCCUUUACAGGCGGUGCCCCGCACUCCCGGGGCGUCUCUUUCUCAUCACGAGUGGAGGCGCACCUAUAGCGUACACGCUGAUACCCGAAAGAUGGUGAACUAUGCCUGGCCAGGACGAAGCCAGGGGAAACCCUGGUGGAGGUCCGCAGCGAUUCUGACGUGCAAAUCGAUCGUCGGAGCUUGGUAUAGGGGCGAAAGACCAAUCGAACCAUCUAGUAGCUGGUUCCCUCUGAAGUUUCCCUCAGGAUAGCUUGCGCUCGGUUGAGACGAGUCUCAUCCGGUAGAGCGAAUGAUUAGAGGCCUUGGGGUCGAAACGACCUCAACCUAUUCUCAAACUCCAAAUAGAUGAGAUCCCCGGCUUGCUUGAAAGUGAAGCCGGGACUCGGAUCAGAGUGCCAAGUGGGCCAAUUUUGGUAAGCAGAACUGGCGCUGUGGGAUGAACCAAACGCAGAGUUAAGGCGCCUGAAUCGACGCUCAUGUGAAACCAUGAAAGGCGUUGGUUGCUUAAGACAGCAGGACGGUGGCCAUGGAAGUCGGAA
rnacentral:rRNA from 1 species